UCUUCACUUCGCGUACUCUCUUACCGGUCAAAGUGACGAGAGAGUGUGUGAAGUGAAGAGA
rnacentral:pre_miRNA from 1 species